UACGUAGGGUGCAAGCGUUGUCCGGAAUUACUGGGCGUAACGCGUGCGCAGGCGGCUUUGCAAGACAGAUGUGAAAUCCCCGGGCUUAACCUGGGAACUGCAUUUGUGACUGCAUGGCUGGAGUGCGGCAGAGGGGGAUGGAAUUCCGCGUGUAGCAGUGAAAUGCGUAGAUAUGCGGAGGAACACCGAUGGCGAAGGCAAUCCCCUGGGCCUGCACUGACGCUCAUGCACGAAAGCGUGGGGAGCAAACAGG
rnacentral:rRNA from 1 species